AUCAGUACAUGGGGCGCAAUGAAGAAACGUCCGGUAGGCUACUCGCGUCACAGCAGCAGCUCAGCUAACGUUAGCUAACUAGCUAGCAGUCACAGCCUAUCUAGUCAAAGAGAAGGAGGAGCAACCUCCAAAUCCUAGAGAAUUGACUAUCCAGAGUGCUCACAUGAAAACCACCAUCGUCUACAAGGAAAACUUUGUUCCUUAUUCUACAAGGGUCUACAAUUUUGUCAGCUCGCUCAGUCGGGACUCUGCAUCGGCUGACAGCCAAGACAAUACAAAGUAAUUGUGAAAAGGUGAAAGCUGUAAUGAACUGAUGCCAUUGCCUGCCUAGGCUACCACAUUUGUGAUGUGUGUAGCAAAAAUAUUUAGGAAUUAACACUGUAAAUUGUACAUUGAAUAUAUCUCUGUGUAAAAUACACUGGCUGAAAUUGUCACUUGUACAAUGCAUUGAAAUACCACAGUAUCCCUCUGUUCGAGAACCCCUCUGCUAACCUAGAAACAUUCUCUACCGACACUGUACACGGUCUCAAUGCAAAGUGUUGACAACAUCUGUCUGUUGAACUUCUAGAUAUGGCAGUGAUAACCUGUCCUGUGCAUUGCUGCUGUAUUACAUUCAGUCCAAUCAGAUUUUUGCAAACAUCUGAAGUAGGAGCAUAACUUUUAUACAACUAGCAGAGUGUCUGACAGCUGGCCUAUGCAUGAAUUUCAGCACUUCAAGAUAAAUCAAUAAAACAUCUGUCAAAUUAUCUUAAUUUGUAAAUGAAGUGCAACUGCCAGUUAAAUGUUUGCUGUCGUCUGUGUUGAUCACGGUAAUGUAAUAUCCAUUUAUCUGAGGAUGUCCUCAACACAUUAGCCUGUUAUGACCUGUGGAUUGUGUCUGGAUGAUAAAAUUGGGGGAGUACCAGUACCACUCACCACUUUUUAAUUGGAGGCAACUGUUAGCAGUAAAAUAUUUGACAGUUGAAAAUGUUAUGAUGUGAAGAGGGAAUUCAACAACUCUUGGAGGGUAGUGAAAGUAGAUUUUUUUUUAAACGACCUCUAAUUGAAAAAAAAUGACUGGAUAAAAUCAACGUGUCUCUACCUUUAGCUCAGUCAGCUCUUCUCUGUCCAUUUCUUAACGAUUGAUUGGAUUGGUUUUACAGAGGGUAAAAUGUUGGAGGCUUUAGAAAAACAAAUAGAAAUGCAUUUUCAAAACAGCCAUGUAUGGAUUCAGUGACCAAUCGCAAUCUUGAUACAAAACAAAAUGUUGGUUCUCAUGUAAUUGGUUUUAAAUUCCCAUUGUGAUUGUUCCCGUCCCUAAACCAUUUUGAAA